rnacentral:rRNA from 1 species
ACACGACUACGUAGUUUGAUCCUGGCUCAGAUUGAACGCUGGCGGCAGGCUUAACACAUGCAAGUCGAGCGGAGACGUUCGGUCUUAGCGGACGGAACGGGUGAGUAAUACCUAGGAAUCUGCCUAUUAGGUGGGGGAUAACGAAUACGAAAGGUUCGCUAAUACCGCAUACGUCCGUACGGGAGAAAGGGGGGGAUCUUCGGACCUCUCGCUAAUAGAUGAGCCUAGGCCGGAUUAGCUAGUUGGUAGGGUAAAGGCCUACCAAGGCGACGAUCUGUAGCUGGUCUGAGAGGAUGGCCAGCCACACUGGAACUGAGACACGGUCCAGACUCCUACGGGAGGCAGCAAUGGGGAAUAUUGGACAAUGGGGGCAACCCUGAUCCAGCCAUGCCGCGUGUGUGAAGAAGGCCUUCGGGUUGUAAAGCACUUUAAGCGAGGAGGAAGGUUUAUAGGUUAAUACCCUAUAGAAUUGACGUUACUCGCAGAAUAAGCACCGGCUAACUCUGUG